UACGUAGGGGCAAGCGUUAUCCGGAUUUACUGGGUGUAAAGGGAGCGUAGACGGCGAAGAAAGUCUGAAGUGAAAGCCCGCGGCUCAACCGCGGAAUGGCUUUGGAAACUUUUUUGCUGGAGUACCGGAGAGGUAAGCGGAAUUCCUAGUGUAGCGGUGAAAUGCGUAGAUAUUAGGAGGAACACCAGUGGCGAAGGCGGCUUACUGGACGGUAACUGACGUUGAGGCUCGAAAGCGUGGGGAGCAAACAGG
rnacentral:rRNA from 1 species